AAAACAUUUGACGUAGCUUAACAUCGCUAAUGCUGCUGCCGUGAGAGUUGAAAACGAGAGAAAAAGAGGUUGGAGAACUGCCGAAGACGCACUUUUAAUUGUCCUGCCUUCUCCUAAUGAACACCGCCUUCUUGGUCAGGUCCUAUUUGAUGCCUGGAAAUUGUGAAGCUCCACCCCUUGUGUCCAACGAGGCUGACCAGUGAUCCCAUUGAUGGCGAGCCUCCCAGUCGAACUUUGAGCCACCACCACACCAUUCAGCGGAUUCUGUGGUAGGUUUGUGUCAGUCCCACUGACUGACACCGAGAGCCUAUUGGAUUCUUUUCAUUGACUUUGACUACUCCCUUGACUUCUUGACUUUAACUUGGAUUGGAUCCACAACAAACCAGUUCCACCGGAAUACUUCAAAUGGACAUUUUUUUUUUUCUUAGUUUAUUGGGCCCAUACGUAUUGUAUUGUUA
ensembl:lncRNA